CGCGCCACGCCGAGGCCAACCGGAGGCGCUUGGAGGACCAGGCUGCUGAGCGCACCCGACUGCUGCGCCAGGGCGUGGAGGCACAGCACGCACUCGACGAGUUCCGGACCAAGUAUGAAAACGAGUGUGAGUGUCAGCUGCUGCUGAAGGAAAUGCUAGAGCGGCUAAACAAGGUGAGUCGUGCUUGCCUUUGGGUUUUGGUAGUGUGGUUGCAGUCUUGAGCUAAAU
rnacentral:lncRNA from 1 species